GACGUACCACCCAAACGUUAUUCGGAUUCACUGGGCUUACAGAGUCCGUAGGCGGUCAAGAAAGUUAGGCGUGAAAUCCCUCAGCUCAACUGAGGAAUAGCGCUUAAAACUACUUGGCUAGAGAGAGUCAGAGGUGAGCGGAACUGAUGGUGGAGCGGUGAAAUGCGUUGAUAUCAUCAGGAACACCGGUGGCGAAAGCGGCUCACUGGGGCUUUUCUGACGCUGAGGGACGAAAGCUAGGGGAGCGAACGGG
rnacentral:rRNA from 1 species